rnacentral:rRNA from 1 species
UACGUAGGGGGCAAGCGUUGUCCGGAAUCAUUGGGCGUAAAGCGCGUGUAGGCGGUCCGGUAAGUCCGCUGUGAAAGUCGGGGGCUCAACCCUCGGAUGCCGGUGGAUACUGUCGGGCUUGAGUACGGAAGAGGCGAGUGGAAUUCCUGGUGUAGCGGUGAGAUGCGCAGAUAUCAGGAGGAACACCAAUUGCGAAGGCAGCUCGCUGGGACGUUACUGACGCUGAGACGCGAAAGCGUGGGGAGCAAACAGG